rnacentral:rRNA from 1 species
GGGCUUGACAUCCCACGAAUCCCGCCGAAAGGCGGGGGUGCCCGCAAGGGAGCGCGGAGACAGGUGGUGCAUGGCUGUCGUCAGCUCGUGUCGUGAGAUGUUGGGUUAAGUCCCGCAACGAGCGCAACCCUCACCCCUUGUUGUCAUCAGGUCAGGCUGGGCACUCUAGGGGAACUGCCCCGGUCAACGGGGAGGAAGGUGGGGACGACGUCAAGUCAUCAUGCCCCUUACGUCCUGGGCUACACACGUGCUACAAUGGCCGGUACAAAGGGAUGCAAGACCGCGAGGUUGAGCUAAACCCAAAAAGCCGGUCUAAGUUCAGAUUGGAGUCUGCAACUCGACUCCAUGAAGGAGGAAUCGCUAGUAAUCGCGCAUCAGCACGGCGCGGUGAAUACGUUCCCGGGCCUUGUACACACCGCCCGUCACACCACGAAAGCCAGUUGUACUCGAAGUCGCUGAG